UUUUUCUGUCUUAUGCAUCAGCCUUUACUUUUACUUAGGACUUGACUGUCAUAAAGAAGCUUUAACUAAUCAAAAGUUAGUAACUCUGCUUACUUUAGAUAGAAUAGGUCAAAAUGCUUAGAAAUUUAAAUUUAAAAUGCUACUGAAAUAUGUUACAAUAUUUUUUUAAGUUUAUAUCUACAGUUAUUGCUGAGCCAAAGUAUUCAGUACAUAAUCCAGACUCAUGCAUGCUAAAAUCAGAAUGUUUCUAAAUCAUUCUAAAUCAUUUCCACUCUGAAAAACAAAAUUCAGAAGUCAUAGUUUGAUUAAAAAUUAUGUCAAAAAUGUUUAACACAGAUGAAUAAAAUCAACAGUAGAAAACUUGAGUGUUGAAAAAUGAAAAACUGAAACUUCAACUGUUACCAGAGCUUUAUAUAUU
rnacentral:lncRNA from 1 species